AUAUGGUAAUACUUCCAGAUGGUAGAUAAUAGAGCCAAUCCUUAGCCGAAUCCUUCAAAGAAAACGGAAAGGCUCUUAAUUUAAUUUGCUCUUCGGUCACCCCCGUGGGUUUCAUACUUGUGCAUACCACAUGAAACUCCUUUAGAUGCUUGUGAGGAUCUUCACCUGCAAGGCCAUGGAAAGUGGGCAAGAGAUGUAUUAGUCCAGAUUUUAAUUC
rnacentral:lncRNA from 1 species